UGGGGAAUAUUGCACAAUGGGUGCAAGCCUGAUGCAGCCAUGCCGCGUGUAUGAAGAAGGCCUUCGGGUUGUAAAGUACUUUCAGCGGGGAGGAAGGUGUUGAGGCUAAUAACCUCAGCAAUUGACGUUACCCGCAGAAGAAGCACCGGCUAACUCCGUGCCAGCAGCCGCGGUAAUACGGAGGGUGCAAGCGUUAAUCGGAAUUACUGGGCGUAAAGCGCACGCAGGCGGUCUGUCAAGUCGGAUGUGAAAUCCCCGGGCUCAACCUGGGAACUGCAUUCGAAACUGGCAGGCUAGAGUCUUGUAGAGGGGGGUAGAAUUCCAGGUGUAGCGGUGAAAUGCGUAGAGAUCUGGAGGAAUACCGGUGGCGAAGGCGGCCCCCUGGACAAAGACUGACGCUCAGGUGCGAAAGCGUGGGGAGCAAACA
rnacentral:rRNA from 1 species